UAUUAUUAUUAUUAUUGUUGUUGUUGUUGUCGUCAUUACGAUACCUAUAUACAUCACGCCGCAGCUGUCGACGACACACGACUAGCGACGCGGACCGUCGUCUGUCGUCGUCGUCGUCGCCACCGCCGCCGUCGCAUACAUGCAACACACACACGUUUAAUAUUAUUAUCAAUUUAUCAGUAUAAUGCCAUCGUUUUCCCCGGCCGAGGCGGUUUUAUUUUCGUCUUAAAUCGCGUCCAAUUCAAUACGGUAUCAUCGUUGUACUGCAGAUCAAAACCACCAUUACACACACUCGCAGGCGCGCGGAAGUCCGUUACGGUCUUGGGUCGCGUUUACGUGCACAAUGCGUAAAUGUAUAUACAUAUGUGUAUGUACGUGUACGCGUGUGUAUGUAUACACAUAUGAGUUCGCGAUACGCACACACUCACUAAUGCGUGAAUAAUAAACAUGACGUCGUACAUAAUGAUAUCCGUCUGCAGUGUACCUACCUAUACGUGUUUGACGACGACAUCACUUCCUGUUGAAGUUUGUUUGCUGUCAAUAAGCUGUGCUUUGGGAAUUCGGACCUACUUCCGGUCUACCGCCAAAUAUACAUUAUCUUAUCGAAGCAAUGCAACAUCUAUCAACAUAAAAUCAUAAUAUCUAAUAACUGCUACUUUACUGCUUUAAUAAAACAAGUCUAUCGGAAUGGUGACCGUCAGUCCGUUCGAUUCCAUUAGUCUAACAACAUUACAGUUCUACACAGUCUCAUAGAACCGCGACAACGGAACCAGACAUAAUGCAAAAGCGGCUUCACGACCGACGAAUAUAUAGUUAUUAAGAAUAUGAUAGUAUUAGAUGGAUUUUUAUUUUUAUUAUUAUUAUUGUAAUUUAUUUUUUGUUGAUACCCGUGGUGAACAUUUAUGACAACUUGUAAUGAAAAACGAUCUGCAAACCUUGGCACUGGAAGAAUUCACAGACUAUAAUUAUUGAAGAUCGUGAGUCUCCUGGUGUCAACUAUUGCGGAUCGAUAACACUACGAUUGUUGAAUGUAUUAAUCAUAUAUUACUAUAUAGUUUCACGCACUUAAUAUACUAUAUAUUAUUUGAAUACCUAUUGUAAACACUAAACGUAUAUAUAAGGUUGAGUAAGUUAAACAGUUUAUUGCGUUUAAUCUGUCUAGUUAAAAGUUGUAUAAUUUUUUUAUUUAAGUAAUGUAUAACUUAAUCAUAAUAUUAUUAACCUAAUGCUGUAAACUUAGUUUUAAUUUUCAACUCGUGAAUACGCCUGUAGUCUAGAAAUGCUAGCAUAUAGGUUAAAUAAAUAAGUUUUAAGUUAACUUAAGCUAUUAAACUUUAUGAAUUACUGUUACU